rnacentral:tRNA from 1 species
GCAGUGCGUGGCCGAAUGGUUACGCUCCCCGCUUUGUAAGCGGAUGAUUCUGGGUUCGAUUCCCAUCUGCUGCA